GCGAGUUAGCUCAGUGGGAGAGCUGUUGCCUUACACGCAACUGGUCGGGGGUUCAAAUCCCUCACUCGU
rnacentral:tRNA from 1 species